GAAUGAGGCAGAUUUCGAAAGUUAAUGUGCUUGUCCUAUUUAUAUGAAUAUAUCCUGUCCAUGUGAUCUUCAAGAAUGAACCCAUCGGGCUGCAAUCCCACAAGCGAAGGCAGCUCUCAGCUCUCACAGCCAGCGGGCCUGAC